rnacentral:rRNA from 1 species
AACGAACGCUGGCGGCGCGCCUAAUACAUGCAAGUCGAGCGAGAAGACGUAGCAAUACGUUUGUAAAGCGGCGAACGGGUGAGGAAUACAUGGGUAACCUACCCUCGAGUGGGGAAUAACUAGCCGAAAGGUUAGCUAAUACCGCGUACGCUCCUUGGACUUCGGUUCAGGGAGGAAAGCGAUACCGUGGGUAUCGCGCUCUUGGAUGGGCUCAUGUCCUAUCAGCUUGUUGGUGAGGUAACGGCUCACCAAGGCUUCGACGGGUAGCUGGUCUGAGAGGACGAUCAGCCACACUGGCACUGCGACACGGGCCAGACUCCUACGGGAGGCAGCAGUAAGGAAUAUUGCGCAAUGGGCAAAGCCUGACGCAGCGACGCCGCGUGGGGGAUGAAGGUCUUCGGAUUGUAAACCUCUUUCAGCCCUGACGAAGCGAGAGUGACGGUA